rnacentral:miRNA from 1 species
AUGAUAAUCACUAGGGGAUCUUGUUAAAAUGCAGACUAUGAUUCAAUUAGUCUGCAGUUAAACCCAGUUUCUGUAUUUCUAACAAGCCCUCCCACUUGGUACUCAA